GAUGACGCUGGCGGCGUGCCUAAUACAUGCAAGUCGAGCGAGCGGCGGACGGGUGAGUAAUGUCUGGGAAACUGCCUGAUGGAGGGGGAUAACUACUGGAAACGGUAGCUAAUACCGCAUACCAUCGGAUGUGCCCAGUGGGGAUUAGCUUGUAGGUGAGGUAACGGCUCACCUAGGCGACGAUCCCUAGCUGGUCUGAGAGGAUGACCAGCCCCACUGGAACUGAGACCCGGUCCAUACUCCUGCGGGAGGCAGCAGGGGGGAAUAUUGGGCAAUGGGCGCAAGCCUGAUGCAGCCAUGCCGCGUGUAUGAAGAAGGCCUUCGGGUUGUAAAGUACUUUCAGCGGGGAGGCGUUACCCGCAGAAGAAGCACCGGCUAACUCCGUGCCAGCCGCCGCGGUAAUAC
rnacentral:rRNA from 1 species